rnacentral:rRNA from 1 species
GACGAACGCUGGCGGCGUGCUUAACACAUGCCAGUCGAACGGAAAGGCCCUGCUUUUGUGGGGUGCUCGAGUGGCGAACGGGUGAGUAACACGUGAGUAACCUGCCCUUGACUUUGGGAUAACUUCAGGAAACUGGGGCUAAUACCGGAUAGGAGCUCCUGCUGCAUGGUGGGGGUUGGAAAGUUUCGGCGGUUGGGGAUGGACUCGCGGCUUAUCAGCUUGUUGGUGGGGUAGUGGCUUACCAAGGCUUUGACGGGUAGCCGGCCUGAGAGGGUGACCGGCCACAUUGGGACUGAGAUACGGCCCAGACGCCUACGGGAGGCAGCAGUGGGGAAUAUUGCACAAUGGGCGGAAGCCGGAUGCAGCAACGCCGCGUGCGGGAUGACGGCCUUCGGGUUGUAAACCGCUUUCGCCUGUGACGAAGCGUGAGUGACGGUAAUGGGUAAAGAAGCACCGGCUAACUACGU